rfam:Ovis aries breed Texel chromosome 12, whole genome shotgun sequence.
UCCCUGGUGGCUCAGAGGUUAAAGCAUCUGCCUGCAAUGCGGGAGACCUGGGUUCGAUCCCUGGGUUGGGAA